rfam:Citrus sinensis cultivar Ridge Pineapple sweet orange scaffold00036_contig_38, whole genome shotgun sequence.
CCGACCUUAGCUCAGUUGGCAGAGCGGAGGACUGUAGUGGGUCAAAGCCUUGUAGCCAUCCUUAGGUCGCUGGUUCGAAUCCGGCAGGUCGGA